AGCCUCCGACGAUAUCCCUGUCGCCACAUUACGAAAGAAACUAAAAGGAAAGAAAAACUCACCUGAAUCGAAAUCAACCAGUGCGUCUUCCGACCCAUCCAAGGCUGUUGAACCCACUGUAUCGACACCAGAAAAGAAAAAGAAACGAAAAAUGCGAGGGAUUGAUACCCAACGCAAAAAGGGCGCUGCCCAAUCUUCGGGUUCAGUGGAUAUGGCGCUGCUUGAUUGUAAAUUUAUCAAAUGGAAGUACUUUGGUCAGGUAAAUUUUCAAUUCAAAGAACUUUUUGAGUUUCAAGGAUGGAUGGAUGUGUGUGAAUGUACAAAUGAGUAUUACCCUAGGCUUG
rnacentral:misc_RNA from 1 species